ensembl:lncRNA
GGAAAAGUAGGAGGAAGACUGUGGAGCAAAAUAGGUCCAUACAAAAUAUUUACCUGGGAUCUUGAGUGCCUCCAACCUGGAGAGAAGCUUGAGAGUGAGGUUAUCAAUGCCUACCUCACUUGCAUAGCAAGCAGGUAUGCAGGAAAGGCAUUUGUCAUUGAUUCAUUUCAGAUGACAAAUCUGUGGAAUGGCAAGGCCAAUGAAAUAAAGAAGAUGAAUCUGCAGGUUUAUGAUUUGCUGGUGGGCUCUGUAAAUGAGGGUGACCGCUGGACACUGCUGGCAAUAUAUCCAAAGGAAGGAAAUAUCAUUUAUAUGAACUCCUGUGGUGAAAGCACCAGGAAAUUGCCAGCUGCCUUAAGGUAA